UCUCUGGUAGUAUAUCGGUUAGUACACGCGCCUGUCAUGAUAUGACAAACGUUGUGCGCGCGAAAGCUGGGUUCGACUCCCAGCCAGAGAU